rnacentral:rRNA from 1 species
AUUGAACGCUGGCGGCAGGCCUAACACAUGCAAGUCGAACGAGUGGCGGACGGGUGAGUAAUGUCUGGGCCACUGCCUGAUGGAGGGGGAUAACUACUGGAAACGGUAGCUAAUACCGCAUACCAUCAGAUGUGCCCAGAGGGGAUUAGCUUGUUGGUGGGGUAACAGCUCACCAAGGCGACGAUCCCUAGCUGGUCUGACAGGAUGACCAGCCACACUGGAACAUAGACACGGUCCAGUAUCCUAGGGGAGGCAUCAGUGGGGAAUAUUGCACAAUGGGCGCAAGCCUGAUGCAGCCCUGCCGCGUGUAUGAAGAAGGCCUUCGGGUUGUAAAGUACUUUCAGCGGGGAGGCGUUACCCGCAGAAGAAGCACCGGCUAACGCCGUGCCAGCAGCCGCGGUAAUUC